rnacentral:rRNA from 1 species
CNNUNUNNNUNNGCCGGCUACUCNUGCCANCNGCCGCGGUAAUACGUAGGGUCCAAGCGUUAUCCGGAAUCACUGGGCGUAAAGCGUUUGUAGGCGGAAAUUUAAGUGAGAUGCGAAAUCUUGUGGCUCAACCAUAUAGACGGUAUCUCAUACUGGGUUUCUAGAAGAUAGCAGAGGUAAGUGGAAUUAGUAGUGUAGCGGUAAAAUGCGUAGAUAUUACUAGGAACACCAAUGGCGAAGGCAGCUUACUGGGCUAUAUUUUGACGCUGAGAAACGAAAGCGUGGGGAGCGAACAGGAUUAGAUACCCUGGUAGUCCAAGGGCGAAUNU